GACCAAGGAGUCUAACAUGUAUGCGAGUCAUUGGGAUUUACUAAACCCAAAGGCAUAAUGAAAGUGAAGAUUUCCUUUUAGGAAAUUGAGGAGAGAUCAUGGCUUGGUGUGUAAUAUUCCGUAAGGUUUAUUGUACAAAGUAUGCGCAUCUCCUGGACGUCUUAACCUCUUGAAGGAAGGGCGUACCUAGAGCAUACACGUUGGGACCCGAAAGAUGGUGAACUAUGCCUGGUCAGAACGAAGUCAGGGGAAACCCUGAUGGAGGUUCGUAGCGAUUCUGACGUGCAAAUCGAUCGUCGGAACUGGGUAUAGGGGCGAAAGACUAAUCGAACCAUCUAGUAGCUGGUUCCCUCCGAAGUUUCCCUCAGGAUAGCUGGCGCUUGUAUGAACCAGUCUCAUCCGGUAGAGCGAAUGAUUAGAGGCAUUGGGAAAAAAGUUUUCUCGACCUAUUCUCAAACUCCCAAUGGGUGAGAUGUGCAGCUUGCUUGAAGUAUGAAGCUGUACAAUUUUGGAUGGUGAGUGCCAAGUGGGCCACUCUU
rnacentral:rRNA from 1 species